rnacentral:rRNA from 1 species
UACGGAGGGUGCAAGCGUUACUCGGAAUAACUGGGCGUAAAGGGCGCGUAGGCGGCCUAGCAAGUCUGGUGUGAAAGCCCAGGGCUCAACCCUGGAAGGGCACUGGAAACUGUUAGGCUUGAGUUCCGGAGAGGAGGGGGGAAUUCCCGGUGUAGCGGUGAAAUGCGUAGAUAUCGGGAGGAAAACCGGUGGCGAAGGCGCCCCUCUGGACGGAAACUGACGCUGAGGCGCGAAAGCGUGGGGAGCAAACAGA